rnacentral:piRNA from 1 species
UGGCACUCCUUCAUCACGUCUACAAGCAAC